CCUACGGGGCGCAGCAGUGGGGGAUAUUGCACAAUGGGGGGAAUCCUGAUGCAGCGACGCCGCGUGGGCGAUAGAGUGCUUCGGCAUGUAAAGCCCUAUCCGCAGGGAAGAAAAUGACGGUACCUGACUAAGAAGCCCCGGCUAAAUACGUGCCAGCAGCCGCGGUAAUACGUAGGGGGCAAGCGUUAUCCGGAUUUACUGGGUGGAAAGGGAGCGGAGACGGCAGCACAAGUCUGGAGUGGAAUCCCGGGGCUUAACCCCGGAA
rnacentral:rRNA from 1 species